GAUGAACGCUGGCGGCGUGCUUAACACAUGCAAGUCGAACGGAAAGGCCCAAGCUUGCUUGGGUACUCGAGUGGCGAACGGGUGAGUAACACGUGGGUGAUCUGCCCUGCACUUCGGGAUAAGCCUGGGAAACUGGGUCUAAUACCGGAUAGGGCCACUUCGUAGUUGUUGUGGUGGAAAGGUUUUUCGGUGUGGGAUGAGCUCGCGGCCUAUCAGCUUGUUGGUGGGGUAAUGGCCUACCAAGGCGUCGACGGGUAGCCGGCCUGAGAGGGUGUACGGCCACAUUGGGACUGAGAGACGGCCCAGACUCCUACGGGAGGCAGCAGUGGGGAAUAUUGCACAAUGGGCGGAAGCCUGAUGCAGCGACGCCGCGUGGGGGAUGACGGCCUUCGGGUUGUAAACUCCUUUCGCCAAAGACGAAUUUAGGACGGUAUUUGGAGAAGAAGCACCGGCUAACUACGUG
rnacentral:rRNA from 1 species